rnacentral:lncRNA from 1 species
GAUGGGGAGAAGGCCUGAUGAAAAUUACUGAGGAAGCCUCUUAGCCUAUGUGCUCUGAGAGUAGUGACACCUAGCAGUCGUUCAAAAGAUGAUCAAGAGGAGCAUGAAAAAAUCCCCUGAAUCCAUUGGCUUUCUUCCCUAUACUGACAACAGUUUACUUGUGUAAGAGAUGCAUGCCUCGACUCCGGACCCCUUCUUUCAUCUGCAAAAUCAGCAGCACCCUCACAUCAUCUCCUGUAACAAACUCUCUCUGUCUCCUCCAUAUAAGGUCACUGAUGGUUACAUUUAGGGUCCAUGAUAUAAGAAGAUGGAUGUCUAUUGCUUUUCUCUUGAUAUUCAUGGCACUGCUCCUCUCCAUCCAUAGGAUUAUCUUAUGCCCUGUGGCAUUUAUCAUUUUGGACCCUAUCUCUCUCCUAUCUAUAUUGGACUAUGGUGGCACACAGAGUGUUGUAGAGAUGAGGGUCUCAUCCUUUUGCCCAGGCUGGAGUACAGUGGUGUGUAUGUAGCACACUGCAGCCUUCAACUCCUGAUCCUCCAACCUCAGCCUCCACAGUUGCUGGGAUUACAAGUUCAAGUUGGUGUGUAUCUGCAAAGGCGAUGGAAAGGAGUUCUUACAUAUGCAUAUUCUGAAGAAGGAUGUUACCCUUACUGAAAAACUUAUUCCAAGAUAUGUUUAAUCAAUCAUGAGAAAAAUAAAGAGACAUCCUUAUGAAUGGAGAAUAAAGUCCUCAGGGUUUUUUUCUAAUUCCCCAUGUGAAUGAAGAGCUGUGUUAUUCUAAAUAUAGUGUUUGUCAUAAGGCAAUUGUGUUGGUUUGAGUCCUUAGUCGCUGUGACACUGAUAGAAUUCCUAUCUCCAAUUGGAAGGUAAGUUGACCUUGCCUCACUUUUGGGCAUUUACAAAGUAAAAGUGUCUUCAUAUUCCAG